rnacentral:rRNA from 1 species
UACGUAGGGUGCGAGCGUUAAUCGGAAUUACUGGGCGUAAAGCGUGCGUAGGCGGUUCGUUAAGUUCGUCGUGAAAGCCCCGGGCUCAACCUGGGAAUGGCGAUGGAAACUGGCGGGCUUGAGUGCGGCAGAGGGGGGUGGAAUUCCGCGUGUAGCAGUGAAAUGCGUAGAGAUGCGGAGGAACACCGAUGGCGAAGGCAGCCCCCUGGGUCGACACUGACGCUCAGGCACGAAAGCGUGGGGAGCAAACAGG